rnacentral:rRNA from 13 species
GCCAGCAGUGGGGAAUAUUGGACAAUGGACGAAAGUCUGAUCCAGCAAUGCUACGUGAAUGAAGACGGCUAAUUUGGUUGUAAAAUUCUUUUAUAGUUAUAGAUAAUGACUAUAUUUUAUAAAAAGUCCCGGCUAAUCUCGUGCCAGCAGCCGCGGUAAUACGGGAGGGGCAAGCGUUAUUCAAAAUAAUUGGGCGUAAAGGGUUCGUAGACGGUAUUUUAAGUUAAAUGUAAAAUUUUAAAGCUUAACUUUAAACAUAAUAUUUAAUACUAUUAUACUUGAGUUAUAAAUAGAAAAGUAGAAUUUUAUGAGUAGGGAUAAAAUCUGCAAAUACAUAAAGGAAUAUCGAUAGCGAAGGCAACUUUUUAGUAAUAACUGACGUUGAGGAACGAAAGUAUAGGUAGCAAACAGGAUUAGAUACCCUGGUAGUCUAUACUGUAAACGCUGAGUGCUAGAAUUUAAAAAAAUUAGAUUUUAUAAGCUAACGCAAUAAGCAUUCCGCCUGAGGAGUAUGAUUGCAAGAUUGGAACUCAAAGGAAUUGACGGGGGCCUAUUACAAGUGGUGGAGCAUGUGGUUUAAUGCGAUAAUACGCGCGAAACCUUACCAGCUUUUGACAUAAAAGAAAAAUUUUAA